AUGCGAAGAACUGACUCACUGGAAAAGACUCUGAUGGUGGGAAAGAUUGAGAGCAGGAGGAAAAGGGGAUGACACAGGAUGAGAUGGUUGGACGGCAUCACCUACUUGAUGGACAUGAGUUUGAGUAAGCUCUGGGAGUUACAGAUGGAUAGGGAAGCCUAGAGUGCUGCAAUCCAUGGGGUCACAAAGAGCCAGACAUUACUGAGUGACUGAAUUAACUAACACGGCAUGUGGGAUCUUAGUACCCUGACCAGGAAUCCCACAACCCCAGCAUUGGAAGUGCAGAGUCUUAACUUCUGGAUCACCAGGGAAGUCCUAAAUGCAUUGUUUUAAUAAAUGCAUUGUGCCGUUAAGUGUGAAUGCUGUGUAGAGUUUAAUGACAUUAUGAACUUGCUGUUUUGAUAAUGAGAUUCUGAGGAGGACUCAUCCAGAUUUCUUCUGAUCACCAAACCAAAGAGGUUCAUUUCAGCCUUCCAUAAAUUGAAUAUUCUUUCUAGAGUGGGCAGAAAAUUUAAAUUCCUCUAUUGUGUAUAUAUAAUCUCAAACCCAUCAAUUUCCUACCUAUAGUUCAGAAGGUUUUAAAACCAAUGUUCUGUCAAGAAUUUUGGGAAAAUAAAACAUUCCAGAGAUGAGACAAUCAAAUGACAUUAUUUAUAUUCUGGGCUUAACUAUGGGAUUCAUUUUUGAAUCCAAGCGUUAUCAUGGUGGCAUACAGUUGUGAGUUCUGCCAGAUCCAUGCCUUUCAUUCUUUUGUGGGCACCACCCCUCCCAGUGCAAAACUGAGCUAAUGCUCCUCAGCAGGGAAAACAAAUCACAUAUCCAUCAAUUCAUUAGAGUCUGGUAUUACACUCCUAUUGUCUACUCUAAAUCUUUUGUUAAGCUCUCUGUUAAAUGAGCUAUUAAAUGGUAAUAUUUAGAUUUUCAUCAUUCUAUUUGAAUUUCACAGGUCUUAAAUCAUCAAGAACUCAUGCUGAAUUGAAAGUUUUCAAUACCUGACAUGUGAAACUAAAGGAUUAGGAAAACUAUUUUAGUACUUCUUUUCAUAAGAAAACCAUGAACUCUCACAAAUUAUCAUGUCCUUUCCUCUCAUAGGUAUAAUCUGCCAUUUGGCUUUAGCGAUAACACAUAUACUCGUGGUCCAAUGCAAGUGACACCUCA
rnacentral:lncRNA from 1 species